rnacentral:rRNA from 1 species
GAACCGUUAUAACCGGCGAUACCCGAAUGGGGAAACCCAGUGUGACUCGUCACACUAUCAUUAACUGAAUCCAUAGGUUAAUGAGGCGAACCGGGGGAACUGAAACAUCUAAGUACCCCGAGGAAAAGAAAUCAACCGAGAUUCCCCCAGUAGCGGCGAGCGAACGGGGAGGAGCCCAGAGCCUGAAUCAGCAUGUGUGUUAGUGGAAGCGUCUGGAAAGGCGCGCGAUACAGGGUGACAGCCCCGUACACAAAAGCGCAUGUGCUGUGAGCUCGAUGAGUAGGGCGGGACACGUGGUAUCCUGUCUGAAUAUGGGGGGACCAUCCUCCAAGGCUAAAUACUCCUGACUGACCGAUAGUGAACCAGUACCGUGAGGGAAAGGCGAAAAGAACCCCGGCGAGGGGAGUGAAAAAGAACCUGAAACCGUGUACGUACAAGCAGUGGGAGCACCCUUUGGGUGUGACUGCGUACCUUUUGUAUAAUGGGUCAGCGACUUAUAUUCUGUAGCAAGGUUAACCGAAUAGGGGAGCCGGAGGGAAACCGAGUCUUAACCGGGCGUUAAGUUGCAGGGUAUAGACCCGAAACCCGGUGAUCUAGCCAUGGGCAGGUUGAAGGUUGGGUAACACUAACUGGAGGACCGAACCGACUAAUGUUGAAAAAUUAGCGGAUGACCUGUGGCUGGGGGUGAAAGGCCAAUCAAACCGGGAGAUAGCUGGUUCUCCCCGAAAGCUAUUUAGGUAGCGCCUCGUGAAUUCAUCUCCGGGGGUAGAGCACUGUUUCGGCUAGGGGGCCAUCCCGGCUUACCAACCCGAUGCAAACUGCGAAUACCGGAGAAUGUUAUCACGGGAGACACACGGCGGGUGCUAACGUCCGUCGUGAAGAGGGAAACAACCCAGACCGCCAGCUAAGGUCCCAAAGUCAUGGUUAAGUGGGAAACGAUGUGGGAAGGCCCAGACAGCCAGGAUGUUGGCUUAGAAGCAGCCAUCAUUUAAAGAAAGCGUAAUAGCUCACUGGUCGAGUCGGCCUGCGCGGAAGAUGUAACGGGGCUAAACCAUGCACCGAAGCUGCGGCAGCGACACUGUGUGUUGUUGGGUAGGGGAGCGUUCUGUAAGCCUGUGAAGGUGUGUCGUGAGGCAUGCUGGAGGUAUCAGAAGUGCGAAUGCUGACAUAAGUAACGAUAAAGCGGGUGAAAAGCCCGCUCGCCGGAAGACCAAGGGUUCCUGUCCAACGUUAAUCGGGGCAGGGUGAGUCGACCCCUAAGGCGAGGCCGAAAGGCGUAGUCGAUGGGAAACGGGUUAAUAUUCCCGUACUUGGUGUUACUGCGAAGGGGGGACGGAGAAGGCUAUGUUGGCCGGGCGACGGUUGUCCCGGUUUAAGCGUGUAGGUGUGUGUUCCAGGUAAAUCCGGUUCACUUUAACACUGAGGCGUGACGACGAGGCACUACGGUGCUGAAGCAACAAAUGCCCUGCUUCCAGGAAAAGCCUCUAAGCAUCAGGUAACAUCAAAUCGUACCCCAAACCGACACAGGUGGUCAGGUAGAGAAUACCAAGGCGCUUGAGAGAACUCGGGUGAAGGAACUAGGCAAAAUGGUGCCGUAACUUCGGGAGAAGGCACGCUGACACGUAGGUGAAGUGAUUUACUCAUGGAGCUGAAGUCAGUCGAAGAUACCAGCUGGCUGCAACUGUUUAUUAAAAACACAGCACUGUGCAAACACGAAAGUGGACGUAUACGGUGUGACGCCUGCCCGGUGCCGGAAGGUUAAUUGAUGGGGUCAGCGCAAGCGAAGCUCCUGAUCGAAGCCCCGGUAAACGGCGGCCGUAACUAUAACGGUCCUAAGGUAGCGAAAUUCCUUGUCGGGUAAGUUCCGACCUGCACGAAUGGCGUAAUGAUGGCCAGGCUGUCUCCACCCGAGACUCAGUGAAAUUGAACUCGCUGUGAAGAUGCAGUGUACCCGCGGCAAGACGGAAAGACCCCGUGAACCUUUACUAUAGCUUGACACUGAACAUUGAGCCUUGAUGUGUAGGAUAGGUGGGAGGCUUUGAAGUGUGGACGCCAGUCUGCAUGGAGCCGACCUUGAAAUACCACCCUUUAAUGUUUGAUGUUCUAACGUGGACCCGUUACCCGGGUUGCGGACAGUGUCUGGUGGGUAGUUUGACUGGGGCGGUCUCCUCCUAAAGAGUAACGGAGGAGCACGAAGGUUGGCUAAUCCUGGUCGGACAUCAGGAGGUUAGUGCAAUGGCAUAAGCCAGCUUGACUGCGAGCGUGACGGCGCGAGCAGGUGCGAAAGCAGGUCAUAGUGAUCCGGUGGUUCUGAAUGGAAGGGCCAUCGCUCAACGGAUAAAAGGUACUCCGGGGAUAACAGGCUGAUACCGCCCAAGAGUUCAUAUCGACGGCGGUGUUUGGCACCUCGAUGUCGGCUCAUCACAUCCUGGGGCUGAAGUAGGUCCCAAGGGUAUGGCUGUUCGCCAUUUAAAGUGGUACGCGAGCUGGGUUUAGAACGUCGUGAGACAGUUCGGUCCCUAUCUGCCGUGGGCGCUGGAGAACUGAGGGGGGCUGCUCCUAGUACGAGAGGACCGGAGUGGACGCAUCACUGGUGUUCGGGUUGUCAUGCCAAUGGCACUGCCCGGUAGCUAAAUGCGGAAGAGAUAAGUGCUGAAAGCAUCUAAGCACGAAACUUGCCCCGA